rnacentral:rRNA from 1 species
CCUACGGGAGGCAGCAGUGAGGAAUAUUGGUCAAUGGCCGUAAGGCUGAACCAGCCAAGUCGCGUGAAGGACGAAGGUUCUAUGGUUUGUAAACUUCUUUUAUCGGGGAAUAAAGGUAUCCACGUGUGGCUAUUUGCAUGUACCCUAUGAAUAAGCAUCGGCUAACUCCGUGCCAGCAGCCGCGGUAAUACGGAGGAUGCGAGCGUUAUCCGGAUUUAUUGGGUUUAAAGGGUGCGUAGGUUGUUUUUUAAGUCAGCGGUGAAAGUUUGUGGCUCAACCAUAAAAUUGCCGUUGAAACUGGAAGACUUGAGUGUGUUUGAGGUAGGCGGAAUGCGUGGUGUAGCGGUGAAAUGCAUAGAUAUCACGCAGAACUCCGAUUGCGAAGGCAGCUUACUAAGCCAUAACUGACACUGAAGCACGAAAGCGUGGGGAUCAAACAGGAUUAGAUACCCGAGUAGUC